AUUAAUUUUCUUCAUGAUCUAAUAGUCAAACAACAUCAAGACUCAAUUAAAAAAUAGAUAAACAACAUGCUGAACUCAUCCAAUUAUUGAAACACAAUAGCCAAAAAUAUGAAAAGGUUCAUGUUUUGGAUGAUUCAACUGUCGGAGAAAAAUCAACACAAGCUCAAGUAGACGAGAUGGAUAUCAUGCAGAAUAUUGAAGGCAUACAAAAAGGGCAAGAGGGAGAAGAAAAAACAGGAAAUGUACCAUCAAAAGAAGAUGUUGAAGAUGUUGAAAUUUUCAAAAUCUUGAAAGAAAAAGGAAAAAAG